rnacentral:pre_miRNA from 1 species
ACAACAAAAGGACCGUCGGUCUACCGAGCAAAUAUCACUCGCACGGUGGAAGAGCUUCCCUUCGUCGU